rnacentral:rRNA from 1 species
GAUGAACGCUGGCGGCGUGCCUAAUACAUGCAAGUCGAGCGAACAGAUGAGGAGCUUGCUCCUCUGACGUUAGCGGCGGACGGGUGAGUAACACGUGGAUAACCUACCUAUAAGACUGGGAUAACUUCGGGAAACCGGAGCUAAUACCGGAUAAUAUAUUGAACCGCAUGGUUCAAUAGUGAAAGACGGUUUUGCUGUCACUUAUAGAUGGAUCCGCGCCGCAUUAGCUAGUUGGUAAGGUAACGGCUUACCAAGGCGACGAUGCGUAGCCGACCUGAGAGGGUGAUCGGCCACACUGGAACUGAGACACGGUCCAGACUCCUACGGGAGGCAGCAGUAGGGAAUCUUCCGCAAUGGGCGAAAGCCUGACGGAGCAACGCCGCGUGAGUGAUGAAGGUCUUCGGAUCGUAAAACUCUGUUAUUAGGGAAGAACAAAUGCGUAAGUAACUAUGCACGUCUUGACGGUACCUAAUCAGAAAGCCACGGCUAACUACGUG